rnacentral:rRNA from 1 species
UACGUAGGGGGCAAGCGUUGUCCGGAUUUAUUGGGCGUAAAGAGCGUGUAGGCGGUCCGGUAAGUCCGUUGUGAAAGUCAGGGGCUCAACCCUUGAAUGCCGGCGGAUACUGUCGGGCUAGAGUCCGGAAGAGGCGAGUGGAAUUCCUGGUGUAGCGGUGAAAUGCGCAGAUAUCAGGAGGAACACCGAUUGCGAAGGCAGCUCGCUGGGACGUUACUGACGCUGAGACGCGAAAGCGUGGGGAGCAAACAGG